UGUGGCUGGGUGGUGUGACCAGGGAGGCCCAGACCCAGAGAAACUACAGGACUGCAUGAGAGCAAACUUCAAUUCCGCUUGCUUGGAGCCAUGGCCUAAAGUUCUGUGGAGGAAAUCCAGGACAAAAAGAGCUGGAUGGCAGCUGGAUGACAGAAAUGUUCUGCAAAUGAAGAAUUCUGUGAUUUGACCAGUUCUGUUUGAGCUGCAUCGUGGGGGCAGAAACAUCCUUAGAGUCUCACGUUGAAUUCUGUGGAGAGUUCCCUAAAUAUACAUGUACUGGCUAUGUCAAUACUCAGAGUGAGUAUCAUGCCUGAACAUCUUCUAAUUCUGUAAUACCAUUUUCUAAUGGUGAAACCACUGGCUGCCAGAAAAAAAAAAAAAAAGAAAAAAAAAAGAAAAAAAGUAGUAUUCUUGGAAAGAGGAUCUCAGCUGUAAGUUGUAUAGAGCGUUGUAAUUAUCAGGAUAGAAUCAGGAUAGAAGUGCUUAUAAAUUCUUAAGAUGAAACUCUCUUGUAAGCCAGAAAGCUAUCUUAAAAGCUCUAAAGUGUAAAAGGUACCAAGAGAACAAAUUUGGCCAUGUUCCACAUGCCUCUGUGCCAUAUUCAGUCAGGUCUGAAGUUCCUGGCAAAGUGUGAAUUUUUUUAGUUACAUGAAGCUUAUAGUUAAAAGCUUACUACAUACGUUUACUAGAUCUAAUAGUAGAUCUCCUGGGUCUUGUUUCUUGUGCCUUUCUGAGGCAUCCUCCUUGAAGAGAGGACUAGAAGGAAUGGGAGGGUAACACCAGUUUCUCAGAGGCAGAGUAGUGGAGUCAUGCUUCUAAUCCAGUCAGAAGCAUGAAUGAUAAAUGACUUGCAGCAAUGUGGAGGGCAAAAUAUGGACAUGCUAUACAAUAAGCGGUUUCUGAGAACUCCAAAUUUUGGCACCCGUGACAACCUGUGACAUGAUUAAGAAAUCAGGUUCACAUUCCAGACUGUUCUAAAAUCAAAUGUGAACAGUUGCUUCAAACAGUAAUACUCCCAAAUGCAUUUAUUCUGCGUGUCUGCACACCAAGCUGCUAUGCUAUGCAGUGCAAAACUUGAACAAGCUACUCAACUAUGAGAAGCAAUCUAAAUGUUGCAGUCCCUUUGGUCCCUGCACACAAACCUCUGAUCUCAAAGAAGUCAGGUAAAUGUGUUCUGGUUCCCAGAUAACUAGGUUGUUUCCCUAUUGAAGGCAGCUUACGUGGUCUCUCU
rnacentral:lncRNA from 1 species